AAGUUGAUUUUUCUUUUAGGUUGGGUGUCGAUGAAAUGUUUGACGUCCAUGGCUUUAUUUUUGGCUUAAUUAGUUUGAUGUGGCUGAUGUGUUCUUGCUUUGUUGUGCUCUGUGUUUGUGCAUGUCCGGCUAUGACAGUGUUUUGGCUUCAGUGGGUGGAUGUUUCAUGAGAUGGGGGGGUUGCCUCUCUAUGUUUUUUCUUGGGAUUAUCUUGGUUGGUUUAGUUCUAGUCCGCUGAGUACUUGAGUAUAUUUUUCUUCUUCCUUCAACUUGGGGAAAUUUCCUUUUCUUGUACCAUAAACACUUCAACAUUCACGGUCCGUGAACUCAUCUAGACGGGCUAUAAUCAUAUUUCUUAAAUUUCAACAUACACCAAACUCGAAUACGUACAUCAAGAAUGUACUUAUCUCAACUAAUGAUCAUUAAUCUUAUUUAAUAUCGAUCGAUCGGAAAGCUUAUAGGACUUUGGUUAUGGUUUUAUUCAAAUAUAAAAGAUGGCAUAUGGAUUGAAUAUAUAGAAGCCGCUAGCAAUCGAACUUGAACAUGUGUUGACAUCGAUCGAGCGAGAACGAUCUGUCCGUGCUAGCUAUGUAGCUACCGUCCAUGGCCACCGGGCGGUGAAUCACACCCGCAUGCGAAAAGACACCGCCGCCGUUCUGCACAAAUUAACAAGUUAACAGACAACAGAUUAAUGAUAGAGCUAGCUUCCAUAAGAGUAGUGUAUGUAAUUAAAAUUUGACGUACCGCAAUAGGCCGAAGAUGGAGCUGCCGACAGCAAAAUGAUGAGAAGCACAUACAACAGCACCAGAAGCAGAGCCAUCUUCUUUGUGUUUAUACUCAUCUCCAUGGAUCGGUCGGAUCUCAUUGUCGUCUACCUUGCACACCUCUACGUACAGAUAGAAUAAGAUCUGAUCAUCACUUCUGUAAAUUGAUCUCAAUAUAUAGACAAGGUUAGAGGAUAUCAGACUUCACCAAUGAAGUAUUGCUUCACAGCUUACAGAGAGAGAUUAACUUGGAAAAAA
rnacentral:lncRNA from 1 species